rnacentral:rRNA from 1 species
CCCUAUGGGUUGUAAACUGCUUUUAUACAGGAAGAAACAUCUCUACGUGUAGAGACUUGACGGUACUGUAAGAAUAAGGAUCGGCUAACUCCGUGCCAGCAGCCGCGGUAAUACGGAGGAUCCAAGCGUUAUCCGGAAUCAUUGGGUUUAAAGGGUCCGUAGGUGGAUAAUUAAGUCAGAGGUGAAAGUUUGCAGCUCAACUGUAAAAUUGCCUUUGAUACUGGUUAUCUUGAAUCAUUAUGAAGUAGUUAGAAUAUGUAGUGUAGCGGUGAAAUGCAUAGAUAUUACAUAGAAUACCAAU